GCUGAGAACGUAGCGAAAUGCGAUAAGUAAUGUGAAUUGCAGAAUUCAGUGAAUCAUCGAAUCUUUGAACGCACAUUGCGCCCCUUGGUAUUCCGAGGGGCAUGCCUGUUCGAGCGUCAUUAUAACCCCUCAAGCUCAGCUUGGUGUUGGGGCCUGCUGCACUGGCAGCCCUUAAAAUCAGUGGCGGCGCCAUCUGGCUCUAAGCGUAGUAAUUCUUCUCGCUAUGGAGUCCUGGUGGAUGCUUGCCAUCAACCCCCAAUUUUUCUAUGGUUGACCUCGGAUCAGGUAGGGAUACCCGCUGAACUUAAGCAUAUCAAUAAGCGGAGGA
rnacentral:misc_RNA from 1 species